AGAGAGAGAGAGAGAGAGAGAGAGAGAGAGAGAGAGAGAGAGAGAGAGAGAGAGAGAGAGAGAGUAAUAAACAUUCUGUUGUUUGAUAUUACGGUGGUUCACAGGGUACUUCCCUCCAAUUUUGUUACAGAGAAAGGUUGCUUGCUGUUUCUGGAACGCGACCGUGUAUAUAAGUAUAAAAGGCUGCAGUAUUGCCGAAUUGAUCAGAUAAGAUGCCCACUUUUUGGUGUGGUUAUAUAUGGUAGUGAAGCUAUUCGAUAA